AUUGAACGCUGGCGGCAGGCCUAACACAUGCAAGUCGAACGGUAACAGGAAACAGCUUGCUGUUUCGCUGACGAGUGGCGGACGGGUGAGUAAUGUCUGGGAAACUGCCUGAUGGAGGGGGAUAACUACUGGAAACGGUAGCUAAUACCGCAUAACGUCGCAAGACCAAAGAGGGGGACCCUCGGGCCUCUUGCCAUCGGAUGUGCCCAUAUGGGAUUAGCUUGUUGGUGGGGUAACGGCUCACCAAGGCGACGAUCCCUAGCUGGUCUGAGAGGAUGACCAGCCACACUGGAACUGAGACACGGUCCAGACUCCUACGGGAGGCAGCAGUGGGGAAUAUUGCACAAUGGGCGCAAGCCUGAUGCAGCCAUGCCGCGUGUAUGAAGAAGGCCUUCGGGUUGUAAAGUACUUUCAGCGGGGAGGAAGGGAGUAAAGUUAAUACCUUUGCUCAUUGACGUUACCCGCAGAAGAAGCACCGGCUAACUCCGUG
rnacentral:rRNA from 1 species